rnacentral:lncRNA from 1 species
UCUCUCUCUCUCUCUCUCUCUCUCUCUCUCAAUACUAGUCAUGAAAGGCCAAAGUCUAUUGUUGCUCACUUCCUCCACUACAAGAUGGAAGGGAAGAUGCUAUCCACUCAUCACAUUAGUAUCGUGCACAAUGCAUAGAUGAUAGCAAGUGUACUAUAGGAUGGAGAACUCAACAUGUUUCAUCGUUAAGUUGGUGUGCUAAGGGAUUGUAUUAUACUCUAGUAGGAUGAC